rnacentral:rRNA from 1 species
UACGAAGGGGGCUAGCGUUGCUCGGAAUCACUGGGCGUAAAGCGCACGUAGGCGGAUCUUUAAGUCGGUGGUGAAAUCCUGGAGCUCAACUCCAGAACUGCCUCCGAUACUGAGGGUCUUCGAGUCCGGGAGAGGUGAGUGGAACUGCGAGUGUAGAGGUGAAAUUCGUAGAUAUUCGCAAGAACACCAGUGGCGAAGGCGGCUCACUGGCCCGGUACUGACGCUGAGGUGCGAAGGCGUGGGGAGCAACAGG